UACGUAGGGUGCAAGCGUUGUCCGGAAUUAUUGGGCGUAAAGAGCUCGUAGGCGGUCUGUCGCGUCGGCUGUGAAAUCCCGGAGCUCAACUCCGGGUCUGCAGUCGAUACGGGCAAACUGGAGUACUGCAGGGGAGACUGGAAUUCCUGGUGUAGCGGUGGAAUGCGCAGAUAUCAGGAGGAACACCGGUGGCGAAGGCGGGUCUCUGGGCCGACAUUGACGCUGAGGAGCGAAAGCGUGGGGAGCGAACAGG
rnacentral:rRNA from 1 species